GGCCCAUGCUUAAAUCAAGACCUCCAACAAAUGCCAUGAUCUUUCUUUUAUACUGACCUGCAUCAGCAUCUACAAUUACUGUUUUCUGAUGAUGGGUAUAGAUUGUUUCAACUUCCUGACAAUCAAAGAUGAAAACAAAAGAGGUUUAAAGUAAGUAAUAAAAUAGAAUACCACAUUAUUAAUACUUACACACGUACAUAGAUAUAUACAAACACGUACAGAUAUGUGUAUAGGUUUGUAUGCACCUACAUCCAUAUAUAGAAGGUUUUAAAAUGCUUUAGUUUUAUAUUAGUGUGUCCUGCAAAUAUAUGCACAUGUUUGAUCUGCUGGUGUGGAGCUAGCUUCAGAACUAACCAAAUUCUGAUGCCAUUAUAAACAUAGUUAAGCCCCAAUAAUUACAUGGGUUGGGCUAAUUAGAUUAGAUAGCAUGGGGGGAUUUAACGCAACUUUUACUGGUUGGUUGUACCGAUCAUGAGAAUAUGACAGUGACUAUAUUUGAAAUAAGUUCCAAAGCAAAACCUUCUUCAUAUCCACCAUGACCUUUGGCCCCACCUCCAUUUUAAUGCUAACUCGAGAGCUUUCAUGGAGGACAAGACACUGAAACUUACCUCCAUAUCUACAUCCAGCAUUUAUUCACAUCAUAAAUGAAUCCAUUCUGAUAUGAAACUUCCUCCUUGUUUCACUGCAGAUAGAUCCAUCAUGCUGGCCCUCCUAUAUAUAUAUGUAUAAGCUUUCCAAACAUGUAGUUAACAGCUUUACUUCUUUGAAUUAAUCUUUGUCUGUUUUAUGUAAUUAAGAUUCGAUUCUAGCCUUUCUAGCUAGGUUUGUAUUCAGCAAUAAGAGCUAGGCUUUGCCAAUUGAACACUCAACCGUCGAUCCAUUGUAGCUCUUAAUUUAGAAAAAAAAUAAUAGAACAAAAAAAUUGAAAAGACAAUAUUAUUAAAUUUAUAAUAUUUUAUUAUUAUUUUGACUAAUAGAUAGAUAAUCCAAUCUGAGAAUAAGUUUUGAGUGGAAUAGCUAAAUGCAAAAUCACGUCAUAUUAUGCAAAUUUUACAUUUGCAUUUGCAUAAUCCAAUGCUAAUGCUCGGCACCAUUGGCACUGGGUCAUUACUCAUCCAGCCUUUGAGCUACAGUGAUUCAACAAAUAUGUUAAACCACUGUAGCUCAGGUAUCUUAAAAUUUAUUGUUUUUUCUCUCACCUAGACGGUUUCAUUUUCCUCGGUUUCAUUUCUCACCUUUACUCUCCCCACUUCUGUUCCUUUCCCGCAACCUAUGCAGCUCUCCAAGAAAAGAAGGAACCAUUUUUUUCUCUCCCCAUUUCAUUUCUCACCUUUUCUCUCCCCAUUUUUUUUCCCUUUCCCCAUUUCUUUUAUCAGUGUACUAACUUCAUGGGAACAGAGAGGAAAGACUGAAGAAACAAAGAAAGGAACCAUUUUUUCACUUCAGACGGAGGCACUUCUUUCUUUUAUUUUUUUAAUGUGAUAGAGCAGUACCUUCAGAGGACAAAUAUAGUUGAAGAUUAGUGAAUUUGUUGCGUUUCUUAUACCCUAGACCAUGCUUAAGGUCCCAGAUCAUCAGGUUGCUGGCCACGAGGGUCGUGAUGGAAUGCUCGGUCCUCUGAUAGAUGAUGUAGGGCACUUCUACAAACCUCUUCAAGAUGAUGAUCGUGGGUCCAACGAGGUAGCCUUCUAUAAAUCAUUCUCAUCGAACACUGAGAUUCCAGAUCACGUCCGGAGAUUCUUUCCUAUUUUUUAUGGAACUCGGCUUAUAGAGGCAUCUGAUGGAUCUGGCCUGCAUCCUCAUCUUGUGCUGCAAGAUACUGUCUCAAGUCACCUCAAUCCGUCUAUCAUGGACAUUAAGAUUGGAUCCAGAACGUGGUACCCCCAAGCAUCAGAGGACUAUAUCCAAAAGUGUUUAAAGAAAGACAGAGACUCAACAAGCAUUGCACUGGGGUUUAGGAUAUCUGGAUUGCAGGUACAUGGGAGCCAAGAAUCUGAAACCUGGAAGCCAGAUAAAAAGCUUGUCAAGAAAUUUACUGCCAAGGAUGUUAGGUUAGUUUUGAGGAAGUUUGUCUCCUCUAACACCUCUGUAGAUACAGGUAUGGACCCUGAUUGUUCUUUUGCAUCAACUGUUUAUGGUGGAUCUGCUGGAAUUUUGGCACAAUUGUUGGAACUCAAAAAAUGGUUUGAGGAUCAAACCAUUUACCAUUUCUAUUCUUGUUCGGUUCUCAUGGUGUAUGAUAAGGAAUCAGUAGUUAAAGAAAGGAAUUGUGCUGAAGUAAAACUUGUUGAUUUUGCUCAUGUUUUGGAAGGCAAGGGUGUUAUUGAUCAUAACUUCUUGGGUGGGCUCUGUUCUUUGAUAAAGUUUAUCACGGAGAUUUUGAGCUGUUCUGAUGAGUAUGAAGAAGCCAAAGCUUCUCUGCAAGACCCUAACAAUAAUUGUAAUUGUACCGAUUGAGCCGGUUAGAAAUGAAUAGGAUGUCUUCAAUGUUGACUUUCUCACCUCACUGUGUAGGCUGUCGCUUAUCUAUGUGCCUUCAUGGGACGAUUAUGUCUUGGGCUUUAAUUGCCCGAAAUCAAAGCUUUUAGCCUUUUGUUUCUUCUUUGUUGAACGAACGAGAACCCGGAGACUAGCGCGCGCGAAAAAAGAUUUUAGUUUGGCUUUGUAUUGUUCCCACUGUUCAAUUUUCUCGUGGGAAUUUCUUCAAUCAUCUUCCGCUUCAAGGCCAACGUCUAUUUCGAAAUCAUCAGCGCCGAAACCCUAAUCACUUUCAGAGAACUUGGUUCAUCCUUUUCCGAAACCAGUACUUCCCGCCAAACAAGAUCAGGUCCAUCUCAAUGUCGACAAUCUUCUCCAUAGGAACCAGAAAGUUUGAAGAAUCUUACUGAUGUUUCACCGUAACAACUCAAUCGAAAACAUUAACAUCGUUGAUCGGAAGUGGUGCGGGGCUUCCGGGAUUUAUUUUAGCUACUGCUUCCCAGGAAAAUCAAUUUGUUGCUUUUUUUUUUUUUUAAAUUUAAUUUUGUGCUGCAUUGAUGCGGCUUAUUGUUAAUUUUUUUGAAAUUUAUGUUCUAAAUUCAUUUUCUGGUUUGUUUUUGUUGGUGGGUCUGGUAUCAAAUCUUGGACGGUAGAUUGGAAAAUAACGCUAUUAGAGUCUAUGAACAAGCACUGAGUUUUAUUGGAGUAUGUGAUAGCUCUUGCUGGCCAAUCUAAUGACUAAAUUGUACAAGGAAUUAAUAUUGUCUCCCGCUUCCUUCUUGUACGAUAUUUUCACAUUUGCAGGUAUACGAGUGUGUUUCCAUUUGAAUGUUACUUUCCUUAAUUCCUGUGUAUGUGAACUCUCUCCCCCUUUGAGACUAUGUAAAAUAUGCUUCCUUGUAGGAUUUCUGAGGAAGAGCUGAAGCAAGUUUAAUGAUUUGAAAUAGAAUUUCCGUAUAGGAUAUGAACCAUGGGUUAUGGCAUAGUGGGGUCGUGUUCCUAAUUGGAGUGGGUGCUAUCCAUGUUAUUGUUUAUGGGUCUCUAAGAUUGGCUUAUCAAGCUAUUCUGUAGGAAGUGUGGUUUGUAGUUCGUAUUAAAUUGUCACUUCUCUGUUUCCAAGGAUGUUGUUAUCCACAUAAACUUUGAUUUUGUUUUAUUUUCUACUUUUCUAUUUCUGAGCGUUAAGAUUGUUUAUGUUGCUCACCAAUUCCCUUUUCCAUGCUCCAUUGAAAAUUACAAACCUUUUUAUAGGAGCAAAUUUCAGGCGGGCUAUUUGCUUCAGUGAGAAACUUGAUGUGGCAGUGGCAAGGGUGGUUGCAGAAACGGGAAUC